GAAUCAGCUUGUUACAUCAGCCACACGUCCUGCAGCAGAAUGCAGGAUUUCGCCUCUGUGAACGUGACGAGAGUUGCCGAUUUCUUCCGCCGAAGCUUUCUUAUUAAUAAUUUAGGGAUAGAAGGACCGCAAGAAACUGCAGGAAGUUGUGGACACAGCCCAGCACGUCAUGGAAACCAGCCUCCCCUCCGUGGACUCUGUCUACACUUCUCGCUGCCGGUGAAGCAGCCAACAUAAUCAAAGACCCCACCCACCCAGGCAAAGACUGCUGUGUGUGCCGCAGGAUACCAGAGGCAGAGACCACAUGUUGCCUGGAUUCCUUCUGUUGGCUUGAUGAAGAAAUGAAGUAAUUACACAGAAAAGUGCUGGUCCCUUCGCCUCCUGUUCCCUUGAUGUGCAAAGCCUCUGAAAAUAUUCGGGAUGGGGUCUGGUUCCAACCUCGGGAGGACGUCGAUCCGCAGAUAAUGAGGAGUGCGUGUACUCACUUGUGUAUCCUAGAAGAAGAUGUAAGGGGAGCAGGAGUGUUCACCAUAGUACUCGACUCCACUCUGCAUCAAAACCGAACUGCUAGAUCAAUGCUUUUUUGGAUUAUUACCAAGAAUUGAGCUGUCCUUAGGCUGACUAUUACUAACUGGUUGCAUCAUGGUCUGGGACGGCAAUUCGAAUGCACAGGAACGUAAGAAGCUG